rnacentral:rRNA from 1 species
UCAUACCUAUUCGAAGGGAUAGGGUCGGUUCGGCCGGAUUUUACACAAGUGUUGCAUGGCUGUCGUCAGCUCGUGUCGUGAGAUGUUGGGUUAAGUCCCGCAACGAGCGCAACCCUCAUCCUUAGUUGCUAUCAGGUAAUGCUGAGUACUUUAAGGAAACUGCCAGUGAUAAGCUGGAGGAAGGUGGGGAUGAUGUCAAGUCAUCAUGGCCUUUAUGGAGUGGGCUACACACGUGCUACAAUGGUGUCUACAAUGGGCUGCAAGGUGCGCAAGCCUAAGCUAAUCCCUAAAAGACAUCUCAGUUCGGAUUGUACUCUGCAACUCGAGUACAUGAAGUUGGAAUCGCUAGUAAUCGUGGAUCAGCAUGCCACGGUGAAUACGUUCUCGGGUCUUGUACACACUGCCCGUCACGCCAUGGGAAUUGGUUUCACUCGAAGCUAAU